rnacentral:lncRNA from 1 species
CGGGAUAAGCUUGACACCACUUCUUUAUUUUUUUAUAGUUAAAGAGUAAUGGAUGAUUUUUGAAUAAUAUAAAGUGAAAUUCUAGAAUAAAAAAGAGAUUUAAUGUUGUAUAUGGAGUAUGGAAUUUAUUGUGGAUGAAUACAAUGGAAAAUUGUAAGUAUACAAUUGAAAGUAUUGAUGAAGAAUGGUUAUGAAUGGAAGAAUUAUAAUACUGAGAUUUGAGAGGAAAUCUUUGGAGUCUGGAUUUGUGUGAAGAAGAAUAAGUAGAAUGAUAGUUAAAUGUAGAAGAUUCCAAUGAUUGGAUCAUGGAGUGAUUAUAUGCUAUUAUUUAAGAUAGUAUAGUAUUACAUAUUGUAGAAUAGAUAUUA